rnacentral:misc_RNA from 1 species
GAUGAAGAACGUAGCGAAAUGCGAUAAGUAAUGUGAAUUGCAGAAUUCAGUGAAUCAUCGAAUCUUUGAACGCACAUUGCGCCCGCCAGUAUUCUGGCGGGCAUGCCUGUUCGAGCGUCAUUUCAACCCUCAGGGCCCUUUUGGACCUGGCGUUGGGGCUCGGCCGCUACCCUGCGGCCGUCCCCGAAAGAUAGUGGCGGUCUCGCUGUAGCCUCCUCUGCGUAGUAGUUACAUCUCGCACUCGAACGCGGCGCGGCCAUGCCGUUAAACACCCCACUUCUCAAGGUUGACCUCGGAUCAGGUAGGAAUACCCGCUGAACUUAAGCAUAUCAAUAAGCGGAGGA